UACGGGGGGGGCAAGCGUUGUUCGGAAUUACUGGGCGUAAAGGGCUCGUAGGCGGCCAACUAAGUCGGACGUGAAAUCCCCAGGCUUAACCUGGGAACUGCAUCCGAUACUGGAUGGCUUGAAUCCGGGAGAGGGAUGCAGAAUUCCAGGUGUAGCGGUGAAAUGCGUAGAUAUCUGGAGGAAUACCGGUGGCGAAGGCGGCAUCCUGGACCGGCAUUGACGCUGAGUGAGCGAAAGCCAGGGGAGCAAACGGG
rnacentral:rRNA from 1 species